GGGAGCUCUCCCAUAUGGUCGACCUGCAGGCGGCCGCGAAUUCACUAGUGAUUAGAGUUUGAUCAUGGCUCAGAACGAACGCUGGCGGCAUGCCUAACACAUGCAAGUCGAACGAUGCUUUCGGGCAUAGUGGCGCACGGGUGCGUAACGCGUGGGAAUCUGCCCUUAGGUUCGGAAUAACAGUUAGAAAUGACUGCUAAUACCGGAUGAUGUCGAUAAGACCAAAGAUUUAUCGCCUGAGGAUGAGCCCGCGUAGGAUUAGCUAGUUGGUGUGGUAAAGGCGCACCAAGGCGACGAUCCUUAGCUGGUCUGAGAGGAUGAUCAGCCACACUGGGACUGAGACACGGCCCAGACUCCUACGGGAGGCAGCAGUGGGGAAUAUUGGACAAUGGGCGCAAGCCUGAUCCAGCAAUGCCGCGUGAGUGAUGAAGGCCUUAGGGUUGUAAAGCUCUUUUACCCGGGAUGAUAAUGACAGUACCGGGAGAAUAAGCCCCGGCUAACUCCGUGCCAGCAGCCGCGGUAAUACGAAUCGAAUUCCCGCGGCCGCCAUGGCGGCCGGGAGCAUGCGACGUCGGGCCCAAU
rnacentral:rRNA from 1 species